rnacentral:rRNA from 1 species
UACGGAAGGCAGCAGUGGGGAAUAUUGCACAAUGGGCGAAAGCCUGAUGCAGCUAUGCCGCGUGUAUGAAGAAGGCCUUAGGGUUGUAAAGUACUUUCAUCGGGGAGGAAAAACAAAACUAAUAAUUUUAUUUCUUGACGUUACCCGAAAAAGAAGCACCGGCUAACUCCGUGCCAGCAGCCGCGGUAAUACGGAGGGUGCUAGCGUUAAUCAGAAUUACUGGGCGUAAAAGAGCACGUAGGUGGUUUUUUUAAAGUCAGAUGUGAAAUCCCUGGGCUUAACCUAGGAACUGCAUUUUGAAACUGAAAUACUAGAGUAUCGUAGAGGGAGGUAGAAUUCUAGGUGUAGCGGUGAAAUGCGUAGAUAUCUGGAGGAAUACCUGUGGCGAAAAGCGGCCUCCUAAACGAAUACUGACACUGAGGUGCGAAAAGCGUGGGGAGCAAAACAGGGAUUAGAUACC